UACGGAGGGUGCAAGCGUUAUCCGGAUUUACUGGGCGUAAAGGGUGCGUAGGUGGUCGGGUAAGUCUGAUGUGAAAGCUCUGGGCUCAACCCAGAAAUGGCAUUGGAUACUAUCCGGCUAGAGGAGUGGAGGGGGGACUGGAAUACUUGGUGUAGCAGUGAAAUGCGUAGAUAUCAAGUGGAACACCAGUGGCGAAGGCGAGUCCCUGGACACUUCCUGACACUGAGGCACGAAAGCUAGGGGAGCAAACAGG
rnacentral:rRNA from 1 species